UACGUAGGUGGCAAGCGUUGUUCGGAAUUACUGGGCGUAAAGGGCGCGUAGGCGGCCGAUCAAGUCAGGCGUGAAAUUCCCGGGCUCAACCUGGGGGCUGCGCUUGAUACUGAUUGGCUUGAAUGCGGGAGAGGAUAGUGGAAUUCCCAGUGUAGAGGUGAAAUUCGUAGAUAUUGGGAAGAACACCAGUGGCGAAGGCGGCUAUCUGGCCCGUUAUUGACGCUGAGGCGCGAAAGCGUGGGGAGCAAACAGG
rnacentral:rRNA from 1 species